CGGUCACAUGGACACUGAGAGACGGGUCCAACUCCUACGGGAGGCAGCAGUAGGGAAUAUUGGACAAUGGGCGAAAGCCUGAUCCAGCGACGCCGUGUGGAGGAGGAAGGCCUUCGGGUUGUAAACUCCUUACACAGGUUAAGAAGGCAGAGAGGGCGAAUAACCUUUUCUGUUUGACAAUCCUGGGAUGAAGUCAUUGCUAACUCUGUGCCAGCAGCAGCGGUAAUACAGAGAUGACGAUCGUUGUUCGGAAUUACUGGGCUUAAAGAGCACGUAGGUGGGAUGUUAAGUCGGUUGUGAAAGACCACGUUUUAAGCGUGGGAGGUCAGCCGAUACUGGCGUCCUUGAGGACGGUAAGGGAGAGUGGAAUUCCUGGUGGAGCGGUGAAAUGCGUAGAGAUCAGGAGGAACGCCGGGGGCGAAGGUGACUCUCUGGGCCGUUCCUGACACUGAGGUGCGAAAGCUAGGGGAGCAAACGGGAUUAGAUACCCCGGUAGUCCUAGCCGUAAACUAUGGGCACUAAGUGGGGGAGGCUACUUCCUCGCCGGAGCGAAAGCAUUAAGUGCCCCGCCUGGGGAGUAUGGCCGCAAGGCUGAAACUCAAAGGAAUUGACGGGGGCUCGCACAAGCGGUGGAGCAUGUGGUUUAAUUCGAUUCAACGCGAAGAACCUUACCUGGGCUUGACAUGACAGGAUUAGUCUAGCGAAAGCUAGAUCACACCCCGUAAGGGGCGGAACUGCCACAGGUGUCGCAUGGCUGUCGUCAGCUCGUGCCGUGAGGUGUUGGGUUAAGUCCUAUAACGAGCGAAACCUUUGUCCUUAGUUACCAUCGGGUAAAGCCGGGGACUCUAAGGAGACUGCAGGCGUUAAGCCUGAGGAAGGUGGAGAUGACGUCAAGUCAUCAUGGCCUUUAUGCCCAGGGCUACACACGUGCUACAAUGGUCGGUACAGUGGGAAGCUAAGCCGUAAGGUAGAGCAAAUCCCCCAAAGCCGAUCCCAGUUCAGAUUGCGGGCUGAAAUUCGCCCGCAUGAAGUCGGAAUCGCUAGUAAUCGUAGGUCAGCUACACUACGGUGAAUGUGUUCCCGAGCCUUGUACACACCGCCCGUCAAGCCACCGAAGCAGGGGUAGCCUAAAGUCACUGGCCUAACUCGCAAGAGGGGGAAGUGCCUAAGGAAACGCCUGUGACGGGGACUAAGUCGGAACAAGGU
rnacentral:rRNA from 1 species